CCUACGGGUGGCAGCAGUGAGGAAUAUUGGUCAAUGGGCGCGAGCCUGAACCAGCCAAGUAGCGUGAAGGAUGACUGCCCUACGGGUUGUAAACUUCUUUUAUAAAGGACUAAAGUGAGGCACGUGUGCCUUUUUGUAUAUACUUUAUUAAUAAGGAUCGGCUAACUCCGUUCCAGCAGCCGCGGUAAUACGGAGGAUCCGAGCGUUAUCCGGAUUUAUUGGGUGUAAAGGGAGCGUAGAUGGGUUGUUAAGUCAGUUGUGAAAGUUUGCGGCUCAACCGUAAAAUUGCAAUUGAUACGGGCAGUCUUGAGUACAGUCGAGGUAGGCGGAAUUCGUGGUGUAGCGGUGAAAUGCGUAGAUAUCACGAAGAACUCCGAUUGCGAAGGCAGCCUACUAAACUGCCACUGACAUUGAUGCUCGAAAGUGUGGGUAUCAAACAGGAUUAGAUACCCCAGUAGUC
rnacentral:rRNA from 1 species